rnacentral:rRNA from 1 species
UACGGUAGGGUGCGAGCGUUGUCCGGAAUUACUGGGCGUAAAGAGCUCGUAGGUGGUUUGUCGCGUUGUCCGUGAAAACUCACAGCUUAACUGUGGGCGUGCGGGCGAUACGGGCAGACUGGAGUACUGCAGGGGGAGACUGGAAUUCCUGGUGUAGCGGUGGAAUGCGCAGAUAUCGAGAGGAACACCUGCGGCGAAGGCGGGGUUGCUGGGCCGACACUGACGCUGAUGCGGCGAAAAGCCAGGGGGAGCAAAACGGGG